CUGUUCAAUGAACAGUAAUACAGUGCCGUGACUCUUUUGCCCUUCCAUUCUCUGCCUUUUUACUUGAGUACCUCAGACAGGUGUUCGUCUCCUGUGGGACUCCGCGUGGCUCUGUUUCUUUGCUGCACGAACAGAGAGCAUAGAGAGUUCAAGAACGAUCGAGAGAGAGAGAGAGGUGAUAUUCAGAGGCUUUGCGUCUUUGUUCCAGAGAAGUACAGAGAGGUGAAGAACAACAAUAGGGAGAGAAGACCCAUUUCAAUUCGAUCCGUUUCGACUUCCGCUAAGCUACGCUCUCUUUGGUUAUGUUUUCAGAUGGUGAUGGGAGUCUGAAUGAAAGUGAUCAGAAAAGGCUACGUCCUCCAGUCCUAUUUAGAGUGAGAAGCCACUAGCAAUCUACUCCAGAAGCAAGGUAACUCUCUUUGAUACCUGCUCAUACCUAUUUGAUGGCGUAUCCUCCAGAAGCAACUCAUGCAUCAAAGUUGCAAUGGACUUUGUCUCACCUGAAAAUAUCGGAGAGUGCUUUCACUUGACAGAAGCAUUCCGCACACUUCCGGAAAAUCAUAGGGCUAAAGCGGACAAAUUGGAGGAACUGGGGAGUUUGGUUUCUCUGAAAUGGCAUUGGCUGAAUCAUACGCUGAACAAAUGGAUUUACCAGAGUUAGGUUAUGAAUAUCGAGCCAUCGUUGGGAUACCUUCAGAGCAGUUUAAACAUCUUAUCAUACAUCUGCACUACUUUCAGGAUCUGGUACUUACAUCUGCACUACAUUCAAUUUGGAGUUUAUAAUAUUUCCAGGUAAGUUUUUCUAAGUAAAGAGACCAAAGGUUAAAACACUAUUGCAGAUGAUGCUUUACACUUGAUCUCUGAACUUUAGGUAAGUUCAAUGUUGACAAGCUAUUAACUGAUGCAAUUUUAUUUGUAUAUCUUUUCACACUUUCCUCUUUAUUAGUAGCACAGGGGAAAACUGUGAAUUUUUCAAAAUUUUGUAACAUUGUUAAAACACAAUUGCAUCCUUUCAAAAAAAAAAAAAAAAAAAAAAAAAAAGCCACUCACACACAAUUGCAUAUGAUGGUUUACACUUGAUAUCUCAACUUGAGGUAAGUUCAAUGCUGACAAGCGUUUAACAGGUGCAAUUUUCUGUAUAUAUCUAUUCAUAACUUUGCUCUUUGUGGUUUGAGUACUGUAUGUCUCUAUGCUGGAAAUAUAAAAGCAGAGGCAAGGGUUUUUGGGGGGUCAGGGUUGAGCUUAUAUCUACCCCAGUUUCUUAGCUGUGUUGCUUCACAGGUUUGUCCCACAUUUUUCAUUCUUUGGUUUUUCCCUUAAAAUGUCAAUGAUCAUACAAGUCUUCCCUCCAGACAAAAUUGUUGUGAGAUUUUCAGGUUAGAUUUCAGGAUGUGAACUUUUGCCAUGUCUGUUUUGAGGAGAACAUGUUCAUUUUCAUUGUAUUACUAUCAUUUAUGGUAGUAAGAAGAAAAACAGAAUAUGGGUUACUGUAGUUAUGAACAGUAACUCCCUUAGGAACAGAGUGUUUCUAAUUUCCAAACCGUUUUUAAGAAAAGUAGAAAGAAAGUUACUUCGAGUCUAACCUCCAAACCUGAGUGAGCAUGUUACAAUCAAUGAAUCCACAGAUCUUUUAUUCGAUAGUAAAGAGAUCCAAAC